GAAAGAUGAAAAGAACUUUGAAAAGAGAGUUAAACAGUACGUGAAAUUGUUGAAAGGGAAACGAUUGAAGCCAGUCGUACCUUCGGGUAAUCAGCCUUUCGGGUGCGAUUCUGUGGGGUUUGAAGAGCUUAACACCUUCAUGCUUUGCAUAUUCGUGCUCUUGGGUGUACUUGCCCGUGUGGUUGGUUAACAUCAAUUUCGGGCACCAUAAAAUGGCUGGGGGAAUGUAGCUUCGAUCUUGUAUUGAAGUGUUAUA
rnacentral:rRNA from 1 species